UUUUAAACACUAUACUUCACCCAAAGGAGGCAUGUAUUCAGAUUUACAGUUCUUUGAAGGAAAAACAAUUGUGAGAGAAUACCCAAAAUUAUAUUUCUUCUUUUCUUUUAUUUUUAUUACUAGUUAAUGAUGAAUCUUAUCUUAUUUUGUUUACCCAUAGCCAUGAGUAGCUAAAUUCCUUGUCUAAGAUUUUGAUGGAACUUAUUGGGG
rnacentral:lncRNA from 1 species